rnacentral:rRNA from 1 species
CCUACGGGAGGCAGCAGUGGGGAAUAUUGCACAAUGGGGGGAACCCUGAUGCAGCAAUGCCGCGUGAAGGAUGAAGGUUUUCGGAUUGUAAACUUCUUUUGUACGGGACGAAGAAAGUGACGGUACCGUAAGAAUAAGCCACGGCUAACUACGUGCCAGCAGCCGCGGUAAUACGGAGGAUGCGAGCGUUAUCCGGAUUUAUUGGGUUUAAAGGGUGCGUAGGCGGACUGUUAAGUCAGCGGUAAAAGCCCGGGGCUCAACCCCGGCGAGCCGUUGAAACUGGCUGUCUUGAGAUGUCGAGAGGUAUGCGGAAUGCGCAGUGUAGCGGUGAAAUGCUUAGAUAUUGCGCAGAACUCCGAUUGCGAAGGCAGCAUACCGGCGGCGAUCUGACGCUGAGGCACGAAAGCGUGGGUAUCGAACAGGAUUAGAUACCCCUGUAGUC